UCCCCUGUACGAUUACCCCCUGGCUUACACCUCCAAAUAAUAUAUAACGGUGGUUCAAAUUGUUUGAAGGGCCUGCCACUUGAUUGAUUUUGUUGCCAAACGAAUGGCCGGACGGGGGGAUAACACCUUAGGUAACCUGCCCCAGAAGCGGGGGGCAACCAUUUGGAAACAAGAGGCUAAUACCGCAUAACACCGUUGUUCGCAUGAACAACGCUUAAAAAGAUGGUUCUUCGCUAUCAAUUUCUGGAUGGACCUGCGGUCCAUUAGCUUGUUGGUGGGGUAACGGCCUACCAAGGCCGAUGAUGCAUAGCCGAGUUGAGAGACUGAUCGGCCACAAUGGGACUGAGACACGGCCCAUACUCCUACGGGAGGCAGCAGUAGGGAAUCUUCCACAAUGGGCGCAAGCCUGAUGGAGCAACACCGCGUGAGUGAAGAAGGGUUUCGGCUCGUAAAGCUCUGUUGUUAAAGAAGAACACGUAUGAGAGUAACUGUUCAUACGUUGACGGUAUUUAACCAGAAAGUCACGGCUAACUACGUGCCAGCAGCCGCGGUAAUACGUAGGUGGCAAGCGUUAUCCGGAUUUAUUGGGCGUAAAGAGAGUGCAGGCGGUUUUCUAAGUCUGAUGUGAAAGCCUUCGGCUUAACCGGAGAAGUGCAUCGGAAACUGGAUAACUUGAGUGCAGAAGAGGGUAGUGGAACUCCAUGUGUAGCGGUGGAAUGCGUAGAUAUAUGGAAGAACACCAGUGGCGAAGGCGGCUACCUGGUCUGCAACUGACGCUGAGACUCGAAAGCAUGGGUAGCGAACAGGAUUAGAUACCCUGGUAGUCCAUGCCGUAAACGAUGAGUGCUAGGUGUUGGAGGGUUUCCGCCCUUCAGUGCCGGAGCUAACGCAUUAAGCACUCCGCCUGGGGAGUACGACCGCAAGGUUGAAACUCAAAGGAAUUGACGGGGGCCCGCACAAGCGGUGGAGCAUGUGGUUUAAUUCGAAGCUACGCGAAGAACCUUACCAGGUCUUGACAUCUUGCGCCAACCCUAGAGAUAGGGCGUUUCCUUCGGGAACGCAAUGACAGGUGGUGCAUGGUCGUCGUCAGCUCGUGUCGUGAGAUGUUGGGUUAAGUCCCGCAACGAGCGCAACCCUUGUUACUAGUUGCCAGCAUUAAGUUGGGCACUCUAGUGAGACUGCCGGUGACAAACCGGAGGAAGGUGGGGACGACGUCAGAUCAUCAUGCCCCUUAUGACCUGGGCUACACACGUGCUACAAUGGACGGUACAACGAGUCGCGAACUCGCGAGGGCAAGCAAAUCUCUUAAAACCGUUCUCAGUUCGGACUGCAGGCUGCAACUCGCCUGCACGAAGUCGGAAUCGCUAGUAAUCGCGAUCAGCAGCCGCGAUCCUC
rnacentral:rRNA from 2 species